GCUGGACUUUCUUAGGCGCCCUGAAGCCUUCGUCACAACAAUUGAACCGCUCUCCUUUAAGUUCUUGAUGAUCCGAUAAAUGGUUGAUUUAGGUGCAAUCUUACUGUCAGCAAUAUCCUUGCCUGUGAAGCCCUUUUUGUGCAAAGCAAUGAUGACGGCACGUGUUUCCUUGCAGGUAACCAUUGUUGAGAGGAAGAACAAUGAUUCCAAGCACCACCCUCCUUUUGAAGCUUCCAGUCUGUUAUUCGAACUCAAUCAGCAUGACCGAGUGAUCUCCAGCCUUGUCCUCGUCAACACUCACACCUGUGUUAACGAGAGAAUCACUGACAUGAUGUCAGCUGGUCCUUUUGUGGCAGGGCUGAAAUGCAGUGGAAAUGUUUUUUGGGGAUUCAGUUAAUUUGCAUGGCAAAGAGGGACUUUGCAAUUAAUUGCAAUUCAUCUGAUCACUCUUCAUAACAUUCUGGAGUAUAUGCCAAUUGCCAUCAUACAAACUGAGGCAGCAGACUUUGUGAAAAUUUAUAUUUGUGUCAUUCUCAACUUUUGGCCACAACUGUAUUAUACAAGUACUUCAGGACUAUCAGUCCCUAUUGUAUUAUACUUGCACUUCAGUACUGUCAGGGUGGUACUGAGAGUGCACUGUGUGUGAAGGUGCUCACUCUUGUGUGAAGGAGGUUUUUGUACAGAGACUUCACCAGAAUGAAUCACUGUGGUACACUUUUGGAAGCGGCACAAAACUGGUGUUGAAAACUGGUCCCUCUGUCAGGCCCACAGUGUCUCUGCUCCCCCCGUCCUCUGAGCAGCUCUCCGGGGGCUCGGCCACACUGGCCUGCCUGCUGAGUGACUACUCCCCCCAGGGGGCGAUGGUGAGCUGGGAGGUAGACGGGGCGGAUGUGAAGGAGGGGGUCCUGACCACCACAGAAGAAGAGAAGGGUGGCCACUACAGUCGCAGCAGCACCCUGACCCUGAGCAAGGCACGCUGGGAAGAGGGAGAGGUCUACACCUGCAGGGUCGCCCACGACGACACCAGUGACUCGGCCGCCUUCCGGAAAAGUCACUGUAGUGUCUAGAAGCCAUUGUAGGGGGCUAGAGAGUCCCCACAUGGUGCAAGUGAAGGAAACAUGAGUGUUUUAGAGCUGAAGGUUACAGUAUAAUAGUGAAUAAUAUCAGUAGUGCUGUGUGAUAAACUAUUUUGAGAUUUAGUUGUACAUGUCGUCUUGCCUCUGAGUUCAAAUAAAGCUUGUUUUGAUUCAGAAAUAA